GUCAGGAUGAUUAUUGGGCCUAAAGCAUCCGUAGCCUGCUUUGUUAGUUUUCGGUUAAAUCCAUACGCUUAACGUAUGGGCUGCCGGAAAUACUGCAAAGCUAGGGAGUGGGAGAGGUAGACGGUACUCGGUAGGAAGGGGUAAAAUCCUUUGAUCUAUUGAUGACCACCUGUGGCGAAGGCGGUCUACCAGAACACGUCCGACGGUGAGGGAUGAAAGCUGGGGGAGCAAACCGGAUUAGAUACCCGGGUAGUCCCAGCUGUAAACUAUGCAAACUCGGUGAUGCAUUGGCUUGAUGCCAAUGCAGUGCCGCAGGGAAGCCGUUAAGUUUGCCGCCUGGGAAGUACGUACGCAAGUAUGAAACUUAAAGGAAUUGGCGGGGGAGCACCACAAGGGGUGAAGCCUGCGGUUCAAUUGGAGUCAACGCCAGAAAUCUUACCCGGAGAGACAGCAGAAUGAAGGUCAAGCUGAAGACUUUACCAGACAAGCUGAGAGGUGGUGCAUGGCCGUCGCCAGCUCGUGCCGUGAGAUGUCCUGUUAAGUCAGGUAACGAGCGAGAUCCCUGCCUCUAGUUGCCACCAUUACUCUCAGGAGUAGUGGGGCGAAUUAGCGGGACCGCCGUAGUUAAUACGGAGGAAGGAAGGGGCCACGGCAGGUCAGUAUGCCCCGAAACUCUGGGGCCACACGCGGGCUGCAAUGGUAACGACAAUGUGUUCCGAAUCCGAAAGGAGGAGGUAAUCCAGAAACGUUACCACAGUUAUGACUGAGGGCUGCAACUCGCCCUCACGAAUAUGGAAUCCCUAGUAACUGCGUGUCAUUAUCGCGCGGUGAAUACGUCCCUGCUCCUUGCACACACCGCCCGUCGUUUCAUUGAAGUUUGCUUUUAGCGAGGUGACGUCUAAUUGGCG
rnacentral:rRNA from 1 species